GACAGAGGGUGCAAACGUUGUUCGGAAUUACUGGGCGUAAAGCGCGCGCAGGCGGCCUUGCAAGUCGGGCGUGAAAGCCCAGGGCUCAACCCUGGAAUUGCCUUCGAUACUGGAGAUCUUGAGACCGGAAGAGGUAAGUGGAACUGCGAGUGUAGAGGUGAAAUUCGUAGAUAUUCGCAAGAACACCAGUGGCGAAGGCGGCUCACUGGCCCAUAACUGACGCUGAGGCACGAAAGCGUGGGGAGCAAACAGGG
rnacentral:rRNA from 1 species